GGCUCAGAGUGAACGCUGGCGGCAGGCCUAACACAUGCAAGUCGAGCGGCAGCGCGGGGCAACCUGGCGGCGAGCGGCGGACGGGUGAGGAAUGCAUCGGAAUCUACCCUGUCGUGGGGGAUAACGUAGGGAAACUUACGCUAAUACCGCAUACGACCGAGAGGUGAAAGUGGGGGACCUUCGGGCCUCACGCGAUUGGAUGAGCCGAUGCCGGAUUAGCUAGUUGGUGGGGUAAAGGCCCACCAAGGCGACGAUCCGUAGCUGGUCUGAGAGGAUGAUCAGCCACAUUGGGACUGAGACACGGCCCAAACUCCUACGGGAGGCAGCAGUGAGGAAUAUUGGACAAUGGGCGCAAGCCUGAUCCAGCCAUGCCGCGUGUGUGAAGAAGGCCUUCGGGUUGUAAAGCACUUUUGUUCGGGAAGAAAUCGUACGGAUUAAUACUUUGUACGGAUGACGGUACCGAAAGAAUAAGCACCGGCUAACUUCGUG
rnacentral:rRNA from 1 species